AUGGUGUCUACGUCGUCCUCCCCCGCAGGCCCCGCCGAAGCCGACUCCCCGGUCGUCCACGUCCCCUUCAGCGGCGGCGCCUCCCACUUCGUCGCGUCCACGACCACCGGGUUCCACGUCUUCUCCUGCGGGGAGUCGGUCGAGCGCGUCCGCUACAAGUCCAUCGCGGACGUCUCGUACGGCGCCGAGGUGACCUCCGCCGAGAUGCUCACGUGGUCGCGCCUGGCCGUCGUGACCCGGAAGACGGGCGGCGCCGAGCACGACGCGAUCUACUUCUUUGACGAAGAGAGCAAGAGGACGAUACGCAUCAGCUCGGCCAAGACCCCCAGCCUCGGUGUCGUGGGCGGGGUCCGCCUUCUCGGGGACCACGCGAUCAUCGCCGGCCAGGAGAUGGCGAUGCUGGUCGUCAGGGGCGACAUCAAGAACUCGGAGCUGGUGGAGACGGGCCCGAACCCGCUGGGGCUGUGCGCGCUGGCGGUUGACCGCCGAGAGGCGACGUACGCCCUGCCACGGCCGGAGAAGGGCGCAGUCGUCGACGUGCGCGCGCACGGUUCGGGCGUGGCGUGCCUCGCGCUGUCCCGCGACGGACGGCUGCUCGCCACCGCCGGCUCCAAGGGCACGCUCGUGCGCAUCUUCAGCACCGACGACGGCACCAAGCUCCAAGAGCUAAGGAGGGGCAUCGACAGAGCAGACAUCCACUGCAUCGUCUUGUCGUCGGACUCCAGAUGGCUGGCCGUCUCCAGCGACAAGGGGACGGUGCACGUUUUCCCCGUGUCCAGCGCCGACAAGGCGACCAAGGCCGGCGCCGACAGCGAUACCCUCCCGGUAACGCCGCCAGCAACGGCACCGGUGCCGGCAACAGCGAAGCAGGGGUCCUUCUACCGGUGCCGUUUCGACCCCGUGAACGCGGGCGAGAUGAAGCAGCUGGAGCAUGAGAGAUUCAUUAAGAAGAUCAACGAGUGA
rnacentral:rRNA from 1 species